CUGCAGCCAAUUCAGGCCUAUGUGCUUUUUCUGGUGGGGGUUGGACAUGUGGCAAUAGCUGUAAACAGUGGUCUCCAUUGACAUGUCUGCAGCCUGUUGCCGGUUUGGGUGGUCCACAGGCCUUGGAGAUAGUU